rfam:Loxodonta africana unplaced genomic scaffold scaffold_10, whole genome shotgun sequence.
GCAUUGGUGGUUCAGUAAUAGAAUUCUCACCUUCCAUGUGGGAGACCCAGGUUCGAUUCCCGGCCAAUGUA